GCAGUUAAAAAGCUCGUAGUUGGAUCUCGGUGAUACUGAAGCCAACCGCUGCUUAGUUGGUUGAGUCUGGCUGCACCUAGCGUGUACGUCGGAUUUGCCGGCUGUGUUAGUGGUGUGGAAGCGGUGUUACCUUUCAGCCAUGUCUGUGGUGCAAUACCCACAGGUGUAAGCAAGUGUCAGGCGGUGCUGUGCUUUCGGUAUGGUCCGUCGGCUCGUUUGCAUGCCUGCGGAUGCCCUUCAAAAGGUGUCUGUUGGCGGAUGGCACGUUUACUUUGAACAAAUUUGAGUGCUCAAACCAGGCCAAUGUUGCCUGAAAAGUUUUGCAUGGAAUAAUGGAAUAGGACUUCGGUUCUAUUUUGUUGGUUUUCGGAUCCGAAGUAAUGAUCAAAAGAGACAGGCGGGGACGUUUGUAUGGUUGCGCUAGAGGUGAAAUUCAUGGACCGUAGCCAGACAAACUAAAGCGAAAGCAUUCGUCAAGCAUGUUUUCAUUGACCAUGAGCGAAAGUCAGAGGCUCGAAGACGAUCAGAUACCGUCCUAGUUCUGACCAUAAACGAUGCCAACUGACGAUCCGUGGUGGUAGUAAAUUAACCUUCCCCACGGGCAGUCACCGGGAAACCUUUAAGUCUUUGGGUUCCGGGGGAAGUAUGGUUGCAAAGCUGAAACUUAAAGGAAUUGACGGAAGGGCACCACCAGGAGUGGAGCCUGCGGCUUAAUUUGACUCAACACGGGAAAACUCACCCGGGCCGGACACUGUAAGGAUUGACAGAUUGAUAGCUCUUUCUUGAUUCGGUGGUUGGUGGUGCAUGGCCGUUCUUAGUUGGUGGAGCGAUUUGUCUGGUUAAUUCCGAUAACGAACGAGACUCUAGCCUGCUAAUUAGUGCACUUGUCCACUGUUCCUGUGUAAGUGGCGUUUCGGCGAUGUUGCCCAUGUUAUCUGCUGCAGUUGUUCACCUGUGUCCUCGGAUGCGGGUGGCGGCUGUAGUGGUUUGGGCGGCGGGUUCGGCGUUUGCUUCCGGGUACGG
rnacentral:rRNA from 1 species